rnacentral:rRNA from 1 species
UGAGUACGAGAUGCUACGGCAUCGAAGCAGUCUAUGUCAUACUUCCAAGAAAAGCUUGCACUGUCAGAAACAGAUAAUGCCUGUACCAUAACCGACACAGGUGGGUAGGUAGAGUAUACUAAGGGGCGCGAGAUAACUCUCUCUAAGGAACUCGGCAAAAUGACUCCGUAACUUCGGGAGAAGGAGUGCCUUAUUUUUAAGGUUGCAAUAACAAGAUCCAAGCAACUGUUUACCAAAAACACAGGUCUCCGCUAAGUCGUAAGACGAUGUAUGGGGGCUGACGCCUGCCCAGUGCCAGAAGGUUAAAGAAGUCGGUUAGCAUUCGCGAAGCUGGUAACUGAAGCCCUGGUGAACGGCGGCCGUAACAAUAACGGUCCUAAGGUAGCGAAAUUCCUUGUCGGGUAAGUUCCGACCCGCACGAAAGGCGUAAUGAUUUGGAUACUGUCUCGGAGAGGGGCUCGGUGAAAUAGACUUGUCUGUGAAGAUGCGGACUACCUGCACCUGGACAGAAAGACCCUAUGAAGCUUUACUGUAACUUGAAAUUGAAAUUGGACUUUAUUUGCGCAGUAUAGGUGGGAGGCGUUGAAAAUAUUCUUGCGGGAAUAUUGGAGCCAUCAGUGAGAUACCACUCUUGUAAUGUUAGAUUUCUAACUUUAUAUCAUUAUCUGGUUAAAGAACAGUUUCAGGCGGGCAGUUUGACUGGGGCGGUCGCCUCCCAAAUGGUAACGGAGGCGCACAAAGGUUUCCUCUGAACGGGUAGAAAUCGUAUCUAGAGUGUAAAGGCAUAAGGAAGCUUGACUGUGAGACCUACAAGUCGAGCAGGGACGAAAGUCGGUCUUAGUGAUCUGACGGUGCUGAGUGGAAAGGCCGUCACUCAACGGAUAAAAGUUACUCUAGGAUAACAGGCUGAUCUCCCCCAAGAGUUCACAUCGACGGGGAGGUUUGGCACCUCGAUGUCGGCUCAUCGCAUCCUGGGGCGGUAGUACGUCCCAAGGGUUGGGCUGUUCGCCCAUGAAAGCGGUACGCGAGCUGGGUUCAGAACGUCGUGAGACAGUUCGGUCCAUAUCCGGUGUAGGCGUUAGAAUAUUGAGAGGAGCCUUCUUUGGUACGAGAGGACCGAGAAGGACAUACCUCUGGUGUACCAGUUAUCGUGCCAACGGUAAACGCUGGGUAGCUAUGUAUGGAGUGGAUAACCGCUGAAAGCAUCUAAGUGGGAAGCCCACCUCAAGAUAAG